rnacentral:rRNA from 1 species
UACGUAGGGCGCAAGCGUUGUCCGGAAUUAUUGGGCGUAAAGAGCUCGUAGGCGGUCUGUCGCGUCGGAUGUGAAAACCCAGGGCUCAACCCUGGGCCUGCAUUCGAUACGGGCAGACUAGAGUAUGGCAGGGGAGACUGGAAUUCCUGGUGUAGCGGUGAAAUGCGCAGAUAUCAGGAGGAACACCGGUGGCGAAGGCGGGUCUCUGGGCCAAAACUGACGCUGAGGAGCGAAAGCGUGGGGAGCGAACAGG